UGUGUUUGAAGGAGUAUUUAAGGUGUGUUUGAGGUUUGUUUGAAGGAGUAUUUAAGGUGUAUGUGAGGUUUGUUUGAAGGAGUAUUUAAGGUGUAUGUAAGGUGUGUUUGAAGGAGUAUUUAAGGUGUGUUUGAAGGAGUAUUUAAGGUUUGUUUGAAGGAGUAUUUAAGGUGUAUGUGAGGUUUGUUUGAAGGAGUAUUUAAGGUGUAUGUAAGGUGUGUUUGAAGGAGUAUUUAAGGUGUGUUUGAAGGAGUAUUUAAGGUGUAUGUAAGGUUUGUUUGAAGGAGUAUUUAAGGUGUAUGUAAGGUGUGUUUGAAGGAGUAUUUAAGGUGUAUGUAAGGUUUGUUUGAAGGAGUAUUUAAGGUGUAUGUAAGGUGUGUUUGAAGGAGUAUUUAAGGUGUAUGUGAGGUUUGUUUGAAGGAGUAUUUAAGGUGUAUGUGAGGUUUGUUUGAAGGAGUAUUUAA